GCGGACACUCGCGUAAUGCCCAAAUCGCCAGUAGACAACACAAGCAGCGUCUCAAAUGUCGCUGUCUCUGGUGAUGUCAAAACUAUGUUUGCUAGGACCAUUAUUGGUGGAAAGAUAAUGAUUAAUCUCGUUAAACCUACACGCUCGGUUCCAGUCAAAAUACGUAGUCAUCGAAAGUGAAAGUGACACCGAAUAAUACAUACUCUGGCCUGGCUGCUAUGCUCUAUUCUUUCAGUGUGACGUAUCGGGAAAGCGCUUAAUACUCAUUAACACUGCAGUCUUUACAUAUGCUCUUAAAGAUGGGACAAACGGAUUUUGCUCUCUGAUGGCAUCUGUGCCAAUACCAACUGAGUUUGGGGACAAAGCUUGAAACAGACGCUGCACAUAAAAGGUGAUCUGAACAUGUGACCUGUUUCAUGUUAUGUUUGUGUUGACUGCAGAAUGCCAUUAAUCUGUACAACAUGUUUCGCACCCGGGAAACCCUACACCGAGGAGUCUAUCAGCACCCAGUUACCCGUGGAGUGGAACUUAUGAUUGUUGAUGCGCUUGUAAAACUUGACAAAACGGCGCUGAUACCAGGGGAAAAUGCUAAAAGAAAAAUAUCCGAAUGUAUUGAUGACAUGGCGGCCUAUUCCAAGCUGAAUGACAGCAUCCUUCAACUGGUGGAUCUCCCU